UAGGUCUGUUCUAGAACUUUCUCCAGCUGUCGGUAGGUCUGCUCUAGAACUUUCUCCAGCUGUCGGUAGGUCUGCUCUAGAACUUUCUCCAGCUGUCGGUAGGUCUGCUCUAGAACUUUCUCCAGCUGUCGGUAGGUCUGCUCUAGAACUUUCUCCAGUUGUCGGUAGAUCUACUCUAGAACUUUCUCCAGCUGUCGGUAGGUCUGCUCUAGAACUUUCUCC